GUGGGUAGUUUGACUGGGGCGGUCUCCUCCUAAAGAGUAACGGAGGAGCACGAAGGUUGGCUAAUCCUGGUCGGACAUCAGGAGGUUAGUGCAAUGGCAUAAGCCAGCUUGACUGCGAGCGUGACGGCGCGAGCAGGUGCGAAAGCAGGUCAUAGUGAUCCGGUGGUUCUGAAUGGAAGGGCCAUCGCUCAACGGAUAAAAGGUACUCCGGGGAUAACAGGCUGAUACCGCCCAAGAGUUCAUAUCGACGGCGGUGUUUGGCACCUCGAUGUCGGCUCAUCACAUCCUGGGGCUGAAGUAGGUCCCAAGGGUAUGGCUGUUCGCCAUUUAAAGUGGUACGCGAGCUGGGUUUAGAACGUCGUGAGACAG
rnacentral:rRNA from 1 species